UCACAAUGGACGAAAGUCUGAUGGAGCAACGCCGCGUGAGUGAAGAAGGUUUUCGGAUCGUAAAACUCUGUUGUUGGAGAAGAACGUAUUUGAUAGUAACUGAUCAGGUAGUGACGGUAUCCAACCAGAAAGCCACGGCUAACUACGUGCCAGCAGCCGCGGUAAUACGUAGGUGGCAAGCGUUGUCCGGAUUUAUUGGGCGUAAAGCGAGCGCAGGCGGUUUCUUAAGUCUGAUGUGAAAGCCUUCGGCUCAACCGAAGAAGUGCAUCGGAAACUGGGAAACUUGAGUGCAGAAGAGGACAGUGGAACUCCAUGUGUAGCGGUGAAAUGCGUAGAUAUAUGGAAGAACACCAGUGGCGAAGGCGGCUGUCUGGUCUGUAACUGACGCUGAGGCUCGAAAGCAUGGGUAGCAAACAGGAUUAGAUACCCUGGUAGUCCAUGCCGUAAACGAUGAGUGCUAGGUGUUGGAGGGUUUCCGCCCUUCAGUGCCGCAGCUAACGCAUUAAGCACUCCGCCUGGGGAGUACGACCGCAAGGUUGAAACUCAAAGGAAUUGACGGGGCCC
rnacentral:rRNA from 1 species